GCUAUUGGAUAAAUAUAUUUAAUAAAAUAAAUAUUAUAUAGGUUUUUGCUCACGUGAUGGUUCAAGGUCCAAAGCUCGGCGUGGAGGGCCCUCCCGAUGCUUGAGUAAUCCGUUUUAAUCUUGAGGUUCUCACACACAAAAUCACAUGUCCACUUAUAAUCGUAUA